rnacentral:rRNA from 1 species
AUGAACGCUAGCUACAGGCUUAACACAUGCAAGUCGAGGGGCAGCAUUUCAGUUUGCUUGCAAACUGGAGAUGGCGACCGGCGCACGGGUGAGUAACACGUAUCCAACCUGCCGAUAACUCGGGGAUAGCCUUUCGAAAGAAAGAUUAAUACCCGAUGGUAUAAUCAGACCGCAUGGUCUUGUUAUUAAAGAAUUUCGGUUAUCGAUGGGGAUGCGUUCCAUUAGGCAGUUGGUGAGGUAACGGCUCACCAAACCUUCGAUGGAUAGGGGUUCUGAGAGGAAGGUCCCCCACAUUGGAACUGAGACACGGUCCAAACUCCUACGGGAGGCAGCAGUGAGGAAUAUUGGUCAAUGGGCGCAGGCCUGAACCAGCCAAGUAGCGUGAAGGAUGACUGCCCUAUGGGUUGUAAACUUCUUUUAUAUGGGAAUAAAGUUUUCCACGUGUGGAAUUUUGUAUGUACCAUAUGAAUAAGGAUCGGCUAACUCCGUGCCAGCAGCCGCGGUAAUACGGAGGAUCCGAGCGUUAUCCGGAUUUAUUGGGUUUAAAGGGAGCGUAGGUGGACAGUUAAGUCAGUUGUGAAAGUUUGCGGCUCAACCGUAAAAUUGCAGUUGAUACUGGCUGUCUUGAGUACAGUAGAGGUGGGCGGAAUUCGUGGUGUAGCGGUGAAAUGCUUAGAUAUCACGAAGAACUCCGAUUGCGAAGGCAGCUCACUGGACUGCAACUGACACUGAUGCUCGAAAGUGUGGGUAUCAAACAGGAUUAGAUACCCUGGUAGUCCACACAGUAAACGAUGAAUACUCGCUGUUUGCGAUAUACAGUAAGCGGCCAAGCGAAAGCAUUAAGUAUUCCACCUGGGGAGUACGCCGGCAACGGUGAAACUCAAAGGAAUUGACGGGGGCCCGCACAAGCGGAGGAACAUGUGGUUUAAUUCGAUGAUACGCGAGGAACCUUACCCGGGCUUAAAUUGCAGUUGAAUAUAUUGGAAACAGUAUAGCCGUAAGGCAAAUGUGAAGGUGCUGCAUGGUUGUCGUCAGCUCGUGCCGUGAGGUGUCGGCUUAAGUGCCAUAACGAGCGCAACCCUUAUCUUUAGUUACUAACAGGUCAUGCUGAGGACUCUAGAGAGACUGCCGUCGUAAGAUGUGAGGAAGGUGGGGAUGACGUCAAAUCAGCACGGCCUUUACGUCCGGGGCUACACACGUGUUACAAUGGGGGGUACAGAAGGCAGCUACCUGGUGACAGGAUGCUAAUCCCAAAAGCCUCUCUCAGUUCGGAUCGAAGUCUGCAACCCGACUUCGUGAAGCUGGAUUCGCUAGUAAUCGCGCAUCAGCCAUGGCGCGGUGAAUACGUUCCCGGGCCUUGUACACACCGCCCGUCAAGCCAUGAAAGCCGGGGGUACCUGAAGUACGUAACCGCAAGGAGCGUCCUAGGGUAAAACUGGUAAUUGGGGCU